UGGGACUGAGCCUUUGUGUUUUAUGAUCUCAAGUGUUCUGCAGUGACUUCCAGGGACAAAUUACUACUGGAAGGAUGCAUUCAUGAAAAGGAGUAAAAGGAUUAUCCUGAUUUCAGGCACAAAGUCCUUUCCAGAAACAAUACUAAACAUCUUGUUCAUCUGAUUUGCACAGAAGGGGGAAGAAGUCUUUAUGGCAAAGAUAAACUGCAGACUCAACUCUUUGUGUGGAUGUGUGUGUGCAUGUUAAAAUCUGCUGAAAAGCUAUUUAUGGAUUUGGGAGAGAAUGCAUUCAUUCCAUUUUUAUGGAGUUAAUGAAAUCUUGGCUUUUUCUUUCUUUAAAUACAAAGUUCUGUGGGAAAAAAUGACUAAGUAGGAAUAAUAAGUAAACAACAGAAGUAAAAAGGCUUGCUUUAGUUUUGGGGAAUUGUUCUAUUAUUGCAUUUUAAAUAUCAUAAUAAUCUUCUGUGAACACUUCCCCAAUUUUCAUGUGCUGUUAUGUUUUAAAGCUUUUUGACCAGUAAAUGAAAGUCUUCUGAUGUCAUUCAUGCUUUGAAUACUUUGCUGGCUCAGAGUCUUGGUAUCUGAACUGUCACCAGCCCUAGGAGUGCAUUUCUGAGUGCCUUUGACUUUUGGAAUGGACUGUAAAACUGUGAACCACAGAAGAACACCAUCCAUUCUAUGUUGGACUGAGGAUUAAUGUUUUCAAAUUUCUUCUAGUACAUGAUCUUAUAGCAUAGUAUUAUUUCCAUAGUUGUUCACACAUUGGCUAAACCAGCAAUCACAGCAUCCUAAGCAGGGAAGCUGCAAAUUUGAGCAGGCAUUUUGGCUACUUGUUAUCAUUAUUUCAUAGGUAGAAUCCUCCUAUUUAUUGACUAGUAAAACAGCAAAUAUUCUUCAGUGAAAAAGCUUAAAGUAGUUUACCUUUGCUAUUGUCCUUAACAUGAUCCUAACUUUCAGACAGGCCAUAUAAAAUAAGUUAAGAAUAGCAUAUAAAAUGCAGUAAGAAUUUCCUGGGUUCCACCCUGCUGUUCUGUAUCCUUGUUCAUACCUCUAAUCAUUUAAAUUGAGCUUAGCUCUAUAAACCUAAACUUCGUGUAUAUUUGAAAUUGAUAAUAUUGUAUUUAUUUUACAAAAAUCCAGUACAUUGUUUUAGAAGCAAGCAUAGGAAACUUUUGGUUACGUAUGGAGCAUAUGUUGCUGUAGAUUCCUUUCUUAAAGAAAUAAUUGAACAUUACUGGUCUCACAUGACUGUCUUUUCAUUCGUCU
rnacentral:lncRNA from 1 species